GGGCAUGUAGCUCAGUGGUAGAGUGCAUGCGUUGCAUGUAUGAGGUCCUGGGUUCAAUACCCAGCAUCUCCA